GAUAUAUGUGCAUGCCAAGGGGAUGAUAGUAGAUGAUGAAUAUGUGAUCAUGGGAUCUGCCAACAUUAACCAAAGAUCCAUGGCUGGUUCCAAAGACACUGAGAUAGCUAUGGGUUCUUAUCAGCCGCAUCACACAUGGGCUAGGAAGCUGAAACAUCCACAUGGUCAGGUUUGUAGAUGAUCUUGUUUUCUUUGUUUUCUUUCUUCUGUAAUAAAGGAAGUUGACUUACAUGGGUUCAUUAUUGUAUAUGCAUGGUCAAGACCUGUUUUAUAAUAAUAUUCUUUUCUAUUAAUUAUCAAUCACAAGCUGCUCAUGUAGAAGCUUAGAUUAGAAAAGAAUCCUAUUCAGAAAUAACAAUCCAGGUUUGCUUCCAUCAAGUUUCUUGAACCUUGCUAUAUGUGAUUUAGGAAGUUACAUUUUGAAAUGAAAUGUCUGAUAAUUAAACAUUUUUUCCCCAUCUAUAUGCCUAGCAAGUAUAAUAUUGUAAGUGCCCUAUGAAUGUCGGUCUUGAAACAUCUUUUAUGGUCUGUAACUAUAAUUCUGCAGAUAUAUGGGUAUAGGAAGUCACUUUGGUCAGAGCAUCUUGGCAUGCUAGAUAAUUGCUUUGAGGAACCAGAAAGUUUAGACUGUAUAAGGAAGGUAAAUCAGAUUGCUGGAGAAAACUGGGGUAGAUUCACAGCCAUGGAGUUCACACCAUUGC
rnacentral:lncRNA from 1 species